CAGGUUUCAGUGAUGCCUAUUAUGUCAUAUUUAGUUUGCUGUACCAAGAGCUCAAGCUCAUCUUGUUUAUUUCCCAUGCUUUGCGCAUUAGUGUACAGACAUUGAAGUCCAUUAAUCAUUCCCCGUGACUCUUAUUUAAGGAUUUUUCCUCCCACCACUAGGUCUGCGUGCUGUUUGCUCCAUUUGGUCUAUGACAUAUGGAUGAUCAUCUUCAUCAAUAGAUAGACUCCUACCUUCAGGAGCACUGUCUCCCUCCCCACAUUAGUCAGUUUAAAGCCCUCCUGAUGAGGUUUCUGAGAUUUUGGCAAAAACAUUCCUCCCAACCGUUGUGAGGUGCAGCCCAUCACUUGCCAGAAGUCCAUCUUCAAGAAACUGCAGUCCGUGAUCUAAGAAUCCAAACCGUUCCUGUUUACACCAUUUGCAAAGCCAGCUGUUCAC